UGCGUAGGCGGCGCGGUAAGUCGGGUGUGAAAUCUCGGAGCUUAACUCCGAAACUGCAUUCGAUACUGCCGUGCUUGAGGACUGGAGAGGAGACUGGAAUUUACGGUGUAGCGGUGAAAUGCGUAGAUAUCGUAAGGAAGACCAGUGGCGAAGGCGGGUCUCUGGAUAGUUCCUGACGCUGAGGCACGAAGGCCAGGGAGCAAACG
rnacentral:rRNA from 1 species